GCGAGAACCGCUGAGCGCUCACAGUCAUCUCCCCGUGUGGGCUGCCUGCCGGGGGAAACUGAGGCCCGAGGUCGCUCAGCUGGUUGGUGACAGAAGCAGCCUGGAACCCAGGUGCAGCUCUGUUGGCGUCCGACGCAUGCCGCUGAGCUGAGCGCGCCGGGGGCCGUGGGCAGCGCUUUCCUGAGGCUCCAUGCCUUGCCCGGGCGGCUGAGGACCAGGAUCAGGAUAUGUCCGAUUGGACCAGCGCCAUUGGUUGUAAUGACCUUCCUGAUUGGACCAGCACCAUUGGUUGUGAUGACCUUCCUGUCUCCACCCAAUUACCCAGGACUGGGACUAGACUUAAGGAGACACACGAUUUAAGGUGGCACUCACUCUCAGGUGCUAGCCCUGCAUUUUCUGUACAUGUUUUCUGAGCACCUACUAUGUGCUGUGCGGGUACCGUGUGCCUGGAAGGGGCGGCCGGAGCUGCGAGGGGUUUCAACAGCCGUGACGAGGACCUGAAGCGUGGCCAAAAGCUGCUCGUGUUGGGAGACUGAAGAUUCGGGUUUGCAUCUGGGCUCUGCCCCUGGUAGCUGAUGGCACCAGAUGGACAGAAGCUCGCCUGUCGGUCCCACGGUUUCCUCACCGGCGCUGGGUUCCCUUCCCGCAGCUCAGGAGAGAAAAGGGCACAUGGAGCAGGAUGCCCGGAGAAUGAGAGGCUCACAUCUCCCACAGUCAUUUCUUACUUUGAGAGCAGGGGACUCUCACCAUAAUCUUUCGUUCACUCCAAAACGGUUUCAAAGCUCCUACCAAGAACCAGGCCCUGUGCCAUGCUCCAUGGGGGUGAAUACACCCUCCUGGGCCACAGUUCCACAGGAGGGCAAUGCGCCAAGCUGACAGAUGGAACGGAGGCCACCACCCGCCACUAACGCACAAUGCAGACAAUGUUUGCACGCAGUGUGUCCACUGUGCACAUCGGCCCUUGCAGUGUGGCUCAUCCGAAUUGAGAGCUCUGCCUGCCCGGGGCAGCCACACUUCCCAUCAUCCCACAGAACGACAACAACGACUGUAGGAAUGCUUCCGUCCCCAGGCUGCUCCUGUUGUCCUGCAUGGCACUCCCCAAGCCCCUUCUCACUCUCACCUCUUGGGCACUCCCAGAGCAGCCCAGGCCAGGCCGAGGUGUCUGCACUCACAAAGGGAAAGCACCUCUCCUUAAGCCACACCCUAUGAGUGGAAGGGCAGGACUUGAACUCAGCAUCCGCCCUGGUGACCGGCCCGUUGCCACCUGUCCCACAACUCCCUGGAGUAUGAGGAGUCCCGUGGAGACCUUGCAGGACGAGAGUCUGGGCUGGAUUCUGCCUCUGUCUCUAGACCUACCUGGCUUAAUCUCUGGGAGCCUCAAUUUCCUUCUACGUUGCAUAAACAGGGGCCAGCACCUCCGACCUCACAGCGCAGUGAGGAUCUGAUCAAGACAUCGGCUUGAGCCCCUCUGCUCGAGCCCCUCGCUUGCCCCGGAUGGGAUGGCUCCUCACGAUGUCCCGGACAUGCCAUCCUCACGUCUUGACAUCCGAGCUCCUCAGCACAGCGCCCCCACCCUGGGGGCUCUGCCCUGCCACCUCUUCAAGGUCCUCUCUCCCAUUGCCCUCUUUGACCUCCCUUUGAACUGAUUUGCCUGAAUCCCUUUUGCCCCCUGGCCUUUGCCCAUGAUGUCCGUGCCCCCUGGAGCCCGCUCCUCCCUUCCCCACCCUGCCUGCUGCCUCCUCCUCACCUCCCCUAGAGCCUGCCCAGGGCUGUGUGGGUGCCUGGUCUCUGUGCCUGCCCUGCGUGGAGGCCUCUUUGCUUACCAUGCCAAGUUCGUCUCCCCGCACUGUGAAAGUCCCUGGAAGGGACACUCUGGCUUCCUCACCCUGGGGACCCCAGUAGCUGUCUUGCUGACCUGGGGCUAGAGGUGAGCAAAGACUCUGGGACCAGGCCUGGCCUGGAUGCUGUGAUGUGUGACCCACAGAGACAUGCUGAAGUUCAAACCCCCAGUACCUGUGAACGUGACCCAACUUGGAAAUAGGGUCGUGCGGAUGUAAUAAAGCUGAAAUGAGAUCAUUAGUGUGGGCCCUAGUGCAAUAUGACUGGCGUCCUUAUAAGAAGAGGAAAAGCAGACACACAGGGAGAAGCCCACGUGAUCAGGACAGCAGAGGCGGGACCGGCCAGCUGCAAGCUCAGGAAGGCCGAGGAGUGCCGGCCACCACCAAGGGCGAGGAAGAGGCAGGAAGGAUUCCACCCAGGGUGGCAGGGGGAGUGUGGCUCUGCUGACACCUUCACCGGGGACUUCCAACCUCCAGAAAUGUGGGGAACGAAUAUCUGCUGUUGUAAGCCAUCCAGUUCACCAUAUUUGUUUACAGUGGCCCUGGGACGUGAAUACUGAUGCCCAGCUCUGCAGCGGAUUCUGUGUAACCUGCAGUGAUGGGCGUGCGUUCUGUCGAAUUAGGGUGAUGAUUGCGAUGCUAACCUUGUAGCGGUGUGAGGAUUAAAUGAGUUAUCAAUAAUAGCGUGAAGCCCAGUAAACAAUAAAUGCUAUAUAAGA